UACAGGGGGGUGCAAACGUUGCUCGGAAUCAUUGGGCGUAAAGCGCACGUAGGCGGUUCGUUAUGUCGGAUGUGAAAGCCCUUGGCUUAACCGAGGAAGUGCAUCCGAAACUGGCGAGCUAGAGUACGAAAGAGGAUCGCGGAAUUCCCGGUGUAGAGGUGAAAUUCGUAGAUAUCGGGAGGAACACCGGUGGCGAAGGCGGGUCUCUGGGCCGUAACUGACGCUGAGGAGCGAAAGCGUGGGGGAGCGAACAGG
rnacentral:rRNA from 1 species